rnacentral:misc_RNA from 1 species
AGCAGCCGCGGUAAUUCCAGCUCCAAUAGCGUAUAUUAAAGUUGUUGCAGUUAAAAGCUCGUAGUUGAAUUUCGGGGUCAAUACGUCGGUCGUGCCUCGGUACGCACUGACGUUAUUGAUCCCUCCCUUCUGACGAACCGUGAUGUCAUUAAUUUGGUGUUGCGGGGAAUCAGGACUGUUACCUUGAAAAAUUAGAGCGUUUAAAGCAGGCAAUCGCUCGAAUACAUUAGCAUGGAAUAAUGAAAUAGGACGUUCGAACCUAUUUUGUUGGUUUCUAGGAUCGACGUAAUGAUUAAUAGGGAUAGUUGGGGCAUUAGUAUUCAAUUGUCAGAGGUGAAAUUCUUGGAUUUAUUGAAG